GACGAACGCUGGCGGCGUGCCUAAUACAUGCAAGUAGAACGCUGAAACUUGGUGCUUGCACCGAGCGGAUGAGUUGCGAACGGGUGAGUAACGCGUAGGUAACCUGCCUGGUAGCGGGGGAUAACUAUUGGAAACGAUAGCUAAUACCGCAUAAGAGUAGCUGUUGCAUGACAUUUGCUUAAAAGGUGCAAUUGCACCACUACCAGAUGGACCUGCGUUGUAUUAGCUAGUUGGUGGGGUAACGGCUCACCAAGGCGACGAUACAUAGCCGACCUGAGAGGGUGAGCGGCCACACUGGGACUGAGACACGGCACAGACUCCUACGGGAGGCAGCAGUAGGGAAUCUUCGGCAAUGGACGGAAGUCUGACCGAGCAACGCCGCGUGAGGGAAGAAGGGUUUCGGAUCGUAAAGCUCUGUUGUAAGAGAAGAACGAGUGUGAGAGUGGAAAGUUCACACUGUGACGGUAUCUUACCAGAAAGGGACGGCUAACUACGUG
rnacentral:rRNA from 1 species